GACGAACGCUGGCGGCGUGCUUAACACAUGCAAGUCGAACGGAAAGGCCCUGCUUUUGUGGGGUGCUCGAGUGGCGAACGGGUGAGUAACACGUGAGUAACCUGCCCUUGACUUUGGGAUAACUUCAGGAAACUGGGGCUAAUACCGGAUAGGAGCUCCGGCUGCAUGGGGGGGGUUGGAAAGUUUCGGCGGUGGGGGAUGGGUUCGCGGCUUAUCAGCCUGUGGGUGGGGUAGUGGCUUACCAAGGCUUUGACGGGUAGCCGGCCUGGGAGGGGGACCGGCCACAUUGGGCCUGAGAUACGGCCCAGACUCCAACGGGACGGAGCAGUGGGGAAUAUUGCACAGUGGGCGGAAGCCUGAUGCAGCAACGCAGCGUGCGGGAUGACGGGCUUCGGGUUGUAAACCGCUUUCGCCUGUGACGAAGCGUGAGUGACGGUAAUGGGUAAAGAAGCACCGGCUAACUACGUG
rnacentral:rRNA from 1 species